CCAUCCAUGGAUCUGUGGCACACAGGAAGUUAAGAUUAAUCUAGACAUGAUAAUCUACAGGCUUAUGAGGGCUUACAUAAGUUCAUCUUCUCUACGGAAAUCUGCAUUGAGGGCUCUUGCAAAGGCACUGACGACAGAUCAACUCUUCUACCUAAGAGAGCAGUUUACAUUAUUCGGUCCAAACAAGAGUGGCCAUAUAUCAUUGCAGAGGCACUGACGACAUAUUUUGGUGCAUGACAAUGUACUAAUUCUUCGGGUGCAAUGAAUGAUUCUAGGAUUCUUGACUUUGUUAACUCAAUAUGCAAUAUCCAAUAUGGCAUGAUUGAUUUUGAAGAGUUCUCUGCUGCGGCCAUUAGUGUAUAUCAAAUGGAAGGCCUGGAGACCUGGGAAGAACAUGCUCAAAAAGCAUAUGAAUUGUUUGACAAGGAGGGCAACCGACCAAUUGUGAUUGAAGAACUUGCAUCAGAACUUGGACUUGGCCCUUCGAUCUCACUUCAUGUUGUUCUCAAAGAUUGGAUCAGACAUUCAGAUGGACACCCAGGAAGUUGAGUUGCCCCCUUGACCAGGAGGAAUCCACCUACCGUCUGGACGAAAAAUGAUCCCAUCCAUGGGGCAGCGCCAGGUGUACCGAAUCUUUGGCACAACGAUCAGGGAUCUAUUUCGCAAAAGAACGGA